rnacentral:rRNA from 1 species
CCUACGGGUGGCAGCAGUGAGGAAUAUUUGUCAAUGGGCGAGAGCCUGAACCAGCCACGUAGCGUGAAGGAUGACUGCUCUACGGUUUGUAAACUUCUUUUAUAAAGGAAUAAAGUGAAGCACGUGUGCCUUUUUCUAUGUACUUUAUGAAUAAGGAACGGCUAACUCCGUUCCAGCAGCCGAGGUAAUACGGAGGAUCCGUGCGUUAUCCGGAUUUAUUGGGUUUAAAGGGAGCGUAGAUGGGUUGUUAAGUCAGUUGUGAAAGUUUGCGGCUCAACCGUAAAAUUGCAAUUGAUACUGGCAGUCUUGAGUACAGUUGAGGUAGGCGGAAUUCGUGGUGUAGCGGUGAAAUGCGUAGAUAUCACGAAGAACACCGGUUGCGAAGGCAGCUUACUAAACUGCAACUGACGUUGAUGCUCGAAAGUGUGGGUAGCAAACAGGAUUAGAUACCCGAGUAGUC